CUUCGUCCGUUUUGCACGCUUCUACAAUAGAUUGAGCGUCCAAUGUUAAUAUAUCAUCUCUCAAUAUCAACCAACUAAGAUCAUCAGCAGAGUGUUUCCAUCCAACUACCCUUCAACAUCUGCAUAUUAGUUUGCAUUACAGUUUCGAAACUUCUACCAACGGCUGCGAUUGGUCGCGCCAUGUUGGCGUCCUGUCAUUUCGACCAAUCAGACACGUCCUUGUGUGAGCGAGUGCGUCGAUCUGUG